UAGGGAAUAUUGCGCAAUGGACGAAAGUCUGACGCAGCAACGCCGCGUGGGUGAUGAAGCAUCUUGGUGUGUAAAACCCUGUCAGAGGGGAAGAAACGCACAGGUAGUAACUGCCCUGUGCCUGACGGUACCCUCAGAGGAAGUCCCGGCUAACUCCGUGCCAGCAGCCGCGGUAAUACGGGGGGGACAAGCGUUGUUCGGAUUUACUGGGCGUAAAGGGCGCGUAGGCGGACCCUCAAGUCGGGUGUGA
rnacentral:rRNA from 1 species